UACGUAGGGACCAAGCGUUGUUCGGAUUUACUGGGCGUAAAGGGCGCGUAGGCGGCAUGACAAGUCACUUGUGAAAUCUCCGGGCUUAACUCGGAACGGUCAAGUGAUACUGUCGGACUAGAGUACAGAAGGGGCAACUGGAAUUCUCGGUGUAGCGGUGAAAUGCGUAGAUAUCGAGAGGAACACCUGCGGCGAAGGCGGGUUGCUGGGCUGAUACUGACGCUGAGGCGCGAAAGCCAGGGGAGCGAACGGG
rnacentral:rRNA from 1 species